rnacentral:rRNA from 1 species
UACGGGGGGGGGUAAGCGUUGUUCGGAAUUACUGGGCGUAAAGGGCUCGUAGGCGGCCAACUAAGUCAGACGUGAAAUCCCUCAGCUUAACUGGGGAACUGCGUCUGAUACUGGAUGGCUUGGAUUCGGGAGAGGAAUGCGGAAUUCCAGGUGUAGCGGUGAAAUGCGUAGAUAUCUGGAGGAACACCGGUGGCGAAGGCGGCGUCCUGGACCAACACUGACACUGAGGAGCGAAAGCCAGGGGAGCAGACGGG